CGGAGCGCUUCAGGAAUUACCUGGAAGGCACUUGCUUGGAGUGGCUCCUCAGGCACCUGGAGAACUGGAAAGAAACGUUGCUGCGAGCAGAUACAGGGACCGCGAGGCCUACCCGAUCUCCCCCCGACUGGGGCUGGCUUUCCACAGGGAAAAUAGACUCAGUGUCAGAAUAGUGCCCCUCCCACGGAUGGGAAGAGGGAGAUCUGCUUCGGUGUUUAUAUUCCUAAUAGAGAGUGACUCACCUAGAGGGUGCUUCUCUCUAAAGGACAGUGAAGGAUCCAGUCUCCCUCUGGGAUGUAGGCUGAGACCAUCCCUUAAAUAACCCAUCAGCAGUUCCCUUUGACCCGGGCAGCCACCUUGUGAACCAUGACUUUUUCUGUCAAGGCCUUAUUCUCCAUCUGAGAACAUCUUUGGAGAUGUGACUCUGUUUUCUGAGCUACUGACCCUCCACUGCAGUCACAAGACCAUUAGAGUGUUCCCCACAUUACACCUGCACACUUCUAUCCUGUGCACUCUCCCUGAUUCUAAAACAUAAUUCCACAUCCCAGAGAAUCUAGGCUGGUCUCUGGGUUUUGUGUUUUUACCUUCCAAACCAAUUAUCUUUUCCAUCAUCGGGAUGGUCACAUGAAGGUAACCCAAAGUGUGAUUUUCUGAUUCUUCUUCCUCAGAAACCCCAAAAGAUAUAGGACCCGCCAUCCCAUGAGGUCCCCCUGAGGUGCUGGGCCCUAGGCUUCUACCCUUCAGAGAUUAUCCUGACCUGGGAGCGUGAUGGGGAGGACCACACCCAGGACACAGGGCUUGUGGAGACCAGAACUGCAGAAGAUGGGAACUUCCAGAAGUGGGCAGCUGUGGUGGUACCUUCUAGAGAGGCGCAGAGUGUGAGCCAGCUGCUUCACGGAGGACUGAGUGAUGCAAGAUUUGUUCACACUCCCAUCUUUUUGAUAUCAAGAGCCCUGGACAUUUCUAUCUGCUAAGAAUGUCUGAAUGUGUCUGUGUUUCUAUUAGCAUAAUGUGAAGAGGUGGGAAAAUUGUCCCACUGCUACCCAUCAUGACCCCUCCCCAAACUCACCUGUUUUCUCUUCCCUGAUCUGCUUUCCUGUUCCAGCAGAGGUGGGACUAAAUCAUCUCCAUCCCUGUCUUUACUUCAUGCUACGCGUAUCUCUAUUAGAUAUGGGUUUUUUUUCUAUUCUUCUCAUAUGGGACCGAUGUGGUAAUAAAAGAGAAGACUCCUAAAGUUGAGACAGGAAAUAAAUAAAAGCACUGAGAAUCUU